GGAAUAUAAGAAACCGUCAAUUAAAUUUUAAUUAAAAAAACUAAGAACCGGCUCUUAAAUAAGAUAUUUAAGAGCCGGUUCUUAGCUUUUUUAGUUAAAAGUUAAAAGACGGUUUCUUAUGUUCC
rfam:Brassica napus, WGS project CCCW01000000 data, contig: 34089